AAGAAGGGGGAUAAGAAUUAUUGAGCUUAAGAAGGAUUCAUCAAAGACGGACUUAUUUAUUGAAACAUGGGUUAUUGAACAUGUAUUUCAGAAGCACUUCAAAUGAAGACUAAAAAAGGAAGUGAUAAAAUAUGACCGCUCAGGUAACCGCUCAGGGUCAACAUUACUGUUGACGGUUUCACCAAGUAUAGAAACUUUCGACAUAUUCCAAGUUUCAUCACAGCAGUCCGCUUGUGGUAAUACAAAAGCAACACUAACCAAGAAGAGAGCCAAAUUAUGUGUUUUUAUUGAAUAGGUUAGAAAGAAGGGGGAUAAGAAUUAUUGAGCUUAAGAAGGAUUCAUCAAAGACGGACUUAUUUAUUGAAACAUGGGUUAUUGAACAUGUAUUUCAGAAGCACUUCAAAUGAAGACUAAAAAAGGAAGUGAUAAAAUAUGACCGCUCAGGUAACCGCUCAGGGUCAACAUUACUGUUGACGGUUUCAUCAAGGUGUCAAACUUUCAACAAGUUCUGAGUAUCAUCACAGCAGACAACUUUUUCAACUUCUUAAAAAAACCAAUAAACAAAAGGGAAAAAUUAAGUGUGUUUUU
rnacentral:lncRNA from 1 species